rnacentral:tRNA from 1 species
GGACUCGUAGCUCAGCGGCAGAGCAUCGCAUUCACAUUGCGGGGGUCGAUGGUUCAAGUCCAUCCGAGUCCA